rnacentral:rRNA from 1 species
GAGUAGUGCGGGGCACGUGAAACCCCGUAUGAAUCCGGCAGGACCAUCUGCCAAGGCUAAAUACUCCCUGGCGACCGAUAGUGAAGCAGUACCGUGAGGGAAAGGUGAAAAGCACCCCGGAAGGGGAGUGAAAUAGAUCCUGAAACCGUGUGCUUACAAGAAGUCAGAGCCCGAUCAUGGGUGAUGGCGUGCCUUUUGUAGAAUGAACCGGCGAGUUACGUUCCCGUGCAAGGUUAAGGUGAAGAGCUGAAGCCGCAGCGAAAGCGAGUCUGAAUAGGGCGAAUGAGUACGUGGACGUAGACCCGAAACCGGGUGAUCUACCCCUGUCCAGGGUGAAGGUGCGGUAACACGCACUGGAGGCCCGAACCCACGCAUGUUGAAAAAUGCGGGGAUGAGGUGGGGGUAGCGGAGAAAUUCCAAUCGAACCCGGAGAUAGCUGGUUCUCCCCGAAAUAGCUUUAGGGCUAGCCUCGGAAAGAAGAAUCGUGGAGGUAGAGCACUGAUUGGGUGCGGGGCCCGCAAGGGUUACCAAGCUCAGUCAAACUCCGAAUGCCAUAGAUUUAGUUCCGGGAGUCAGACAGUGAGUGCUAAGAUCCAUUGUCGAAAGGGAAACAGCCCAGACCAUCAGCUAAGGUCCCCAAGUGUGUGUUAAGUGGGAAAGGAUGUGGAGUUGCACAGACAACCAGGAUGUUGGCUUAGAAGCAGCCACCAUUGAAAGAGUGCGUAAUAGCUCACUGGUCGAGUGACUCUGCGCCGAAAAUGUAACGGGGCUAAACACACCACCGAAGCUAUGGCUUGAUGCUUGCAUCAGGGGUAGGGGAGCGUUGAAUGCGGGUUGAAGGUGUACCGGAAGGAGCGCUGGACUGCAUUCAAGUGAGAAUGCCGGUAUGAGUAACGAAAAGAUCUGUGAGAAUCAGAUCCGCCGAAAGCCUAAGGGUUCCUGAGGAAGGUUCGUCCGCUCAGGGUAAGUCGGGACCUAAGGCGAGGCCGAUAGGCGUAGUCGAAGGACAACAGGUCGAAAUUCCUGUACCACCGUAAUCCGCUAUGAGCGAUGGGGUGACGCAGUAGGGUAGUGACGCGGACUGAUGGAUGUCCGUCUAAGCAGUGAGGCUGAUGUGUAGGCAAAUCCGCACAUCGUAAGGCUGGGCUGUGAUGGGGAGCGAAAAUUAUAGUAGCGAAGGUCAUGAUCUCAGACUGCCAAGAAAAGCCUCUAGCCAGGAGAAGGUGCCCGUACCGCAAACCGACACAGGUAGGCGAGAAGAGAAUUCUAAGGCGCGCGGAAGAACUCUCGUUAAGGAACUCGGCAAAAUGACCCCGUAACUUCGGGAGAAGGGGUGCCUCGGUAGGGUGAAUAGCCCGAGGGGGCCGCAGUGAAAAGGCCCAAGCGACUGUUUAGCAAAAACACAGGUCUGUGCGAAGCCGCAAGGCGAAGUAUACGGGCUGACGCCUGCCCGGUGCUGGAAGGUUAAGGGGAGUGGUAAGCCUUCGGGCGAAGCUAUGAACCGAAGCCCCAGUAAACGGCGGCCGUAACUAUAACGGUCCUAAGGUAGCGAAAUUCCUUGUCAGGUAAAUUCUGACCCGCACGAAUGGCGUAACGACUUGGGCGCUGUCUCAACGAGAGAUCCGGUGAAAUUUUAAUACCUGUGAAGAUGCAGGUUACCCGCGACAAGACGGAAAGACCCCAUGGAGCUUUACUGCAGCUUGAUAUUGAAUUUGGGUACGAUCUGUACAGGAUAGGUGGGAGCCGUAGAACUUUGAGCGCCAGCUUGAAGGGAGGCAUCCUU